rnacentral:RNase_P_RNA from 1 species
AAUGUUGAAGUAAUCGCUGCACAUACUAAUGUGUAGAGGAAAGUCCAUGCUCACACAGGCUGAGAUGCUUGUAGUGUUCGUGCUUGACGAAGUCAUAAGUCAAGGUAACCUUUUUAGGUUAACGGCAGGGAAAACACCUACGUCUUUGGAUAUGGUGUGAAUACCUUGAAAGUGCCACAGUGACGUAGCUAAAUAGGAAACUAUUUAGGUGGAACGCGGUAAACCCCUCGAGUGAGCAACCCAAAUAUUGGUAGGGGCAUCUUUCAGUAGGGAAUUCAACCGAACGAAGGACAAGCUUUUUUGGCUUGUAGACAGAUGAUUACUCCUUUGGUACGAGGCUGACCACCGUUUGCAGUACGACAAGGACAGAACAUGGCUUACGGAC